CCUCUGACCUCAUCCCCCAAGGAGGAGGAGACCUGUUCCCCGUUUGCUCUCCGAACCUCUCCAUCCUCAUUCGCACUCCCGGGGCUGCUUUUCCUGGCUGCACGCAGGCACUUCUUCCGAUGCCAGCGCACGCUCCUUCUGGCCCUGGAUUCCAUUUCGCUCCAUCACCUGCCAGCCACGCCUGAUUCCUGGGGCGGGCAAAGCGGCAGAGGCUCAUCAGUAAAAAAAUACAGCUGGCCGCUCUGUCCGCAGCCGCGGAUCCAAGCAACUGCAGAUGGAAAAAAAUCAGGAAAAAAUGAUUGGUGUGCCCUGAACACACACGACACAGCACAGCGUCUGUUUACAAGGCAUCGACAUUGGCGACCCUGGACUCCAUGCGGAGCCUCCUGGUACGCGCGGGCAAUAUCACCGUUUAUACACAGCCUGCGUGUCAGCUGCACUUAAGCUGGUGUCCACCCUGCCGGAUAAGCUGUCGUCCCGAACACAAACGCACGGACAGACGUGCACCGUGAAGGCGCUGGCGGGAGAGCAGAGAAGACGUCGGAAGCCGAGGCUGAGCAGUGGAGCCUGCAGAGCUGCAGCUGCUGCCCGGGGUGGGAGGAGGAGGCUCU
rnacentral:lncRNA from 1 species